ensembl:lncRNA
CUCUGGUGGACUGAGAUUGGCUGUGGAUUCAUUCCAAAACUGUGGACAUAAAGGGAUGGAUAUAGUACGCAACAAUAGAUAGGAUGACCACCAAAAGUGCUGUCAGGCCCGAUGAAGGCCUGAUGAUGAUGCAGGAGCUUGAUGACCGCCUGAAAGAGCAGAUUGACAAACUGGAGCAUGUUCGUCUCGCUGCUGUUGAACUGAAGGAUAACUUGUCUGGGAGCAACAGUGAUCUAAGCCAGUCUAUCAGUGACCAUUUGGAGUGGCUGAAUCACCUGUCUGAGCGAGUUGAAACUCUUCACAUGAACACAACUGUUUUUAUUCAGAUGAAUCCAAAACCUCGUGCAUGGGCAGGAAAACAGAGUUCCAAAUAUGGGUACCGCUGGGGUCGUCUCCACCAAGCAGAUGAUGCUCUGUCAGAGUUUGGCUGGUCCCCCAUUCGCACACGACGUGGCAGCGAUGCGGCCUCUGAAAUGUCCUGUAAUUGGUGACCGUGUAACCAGCUCCAUAUGUCAGCUGAGGUUUCAAAAUAACAUGACUGUUUCACAUUUUGUUAUAGCUACAGUUUUCAUGGAUUUAAUACUUUUCUGUGGUUUUGUUCUGCUGUGUACUAUGUUACUGAACACCCUGUAUUGUUAUUAAAACCAUGGCUUUUUAAUUUUGGUUACCUUUGGGUAAGAUUCUCUCUUCUCAGCUCUGUCUUUUAGCAACUUGAACAUUUUUACAUAGUUAAACUCUCUAAACAUUUUUGAUAUAUUGCAAAGUAGGAAAUUUGUUACUUUAU